rnacentral:lncRNA from 1 species
AAAGCUGAGCCGCCUAGCUUCCUACAGUGUCACUGCUUCAAGAUGAAAUCUCCUUCUAGACUUUGAGGUACUAUACACUUUACAGUUCAUGUUUGCUUAACUCUAUGUAACCCAGGCUGUUCUCAAACUUGGAGCGAUUCACCUGCUUCAGGCUCUCAAAUGUUGGAAUUACGGGCAUAAAACACCAGAGCCCCCAUUCCCACUUCCUCCACACGUCCUCUUAGGUGAGCGAUCUAUUUCUAUAUUUGAUGAGCUGAAGCUCCGAUUGUGACUUGAUAUCAGAGCUUUCAUGGCUCAUAAGAGGAUGGAUGCGGGGACACAGAUAAUGACUUAAGGUUGAUAUGUGUUCUUUAAGAGCAUGGACGGUUCAGAAGCACAUGCGGAGGUAAACCUGAGCCUUUGGUUGCUUUCUUUCUGCUUAGUGUUCUUUCGUGAGAGCGUUCUGUUUUAUGUAUCAAUCAGUGAAGGGAUGUUUGGAACAUUGCUCCUGACCCUCAUGUUUGAGCCUUUUCCCCUGACCGCCUACAGUGCCAGGGCAGCUGGGCCAGUCCUUUUAAGCUGGAUCUAUCUGUGUCUCAGGCAGCUGCAUUCCUGUCCUUUGACCCAAUGGUCUUACUUACAGGAACUCCACCCCACUUCCAUAAUGCUCCAAAAUACAGAAAAGUUUACAGAAGCACUGUUUUGGUUAGAUGAUAGCGUUUUCAAUUUGGUUACACUUGUAAUCUCAGCACUUGGAAAGUGGAGACGGGAGAGGAGGAUAAAGGGUUUAAAGCAUCCUCGGCCACUUAGCAACUUUGAGGUCAGCCUUAGCUGCAUGAAACCUGUCUCAGGGAAUCUGAUGUCUUAUUCUGACCAUCUCAGGCGCCAGGCAUGCAUGUGGUACACGUACCACAUGUGGUACAUGUAGGGAAACCACUUAUAUAAAAAAAAUAAAAUUUCAAAAAUUGUAGGAAGCUGGAGAGAUGACUCAGUGGUUAAGGGCACAUACUGUUCUUGCAGGAUACCCGGGCUGGAUUCCUUACACUCACAUAAGGCAGCUCACAACCGCUUCAGGGGAUCUGGCACCUCUCUGAUCUCUUCCUCCUCUUCCUCCUCCUCCUCCUCCACACACACACACAAAUAAUAAUUAAUUUUUAAAAUAAAACAUUAAGUAAAGAUAAAAUAGUAACAGCAACAACAACAAAAUGAAUAUUAAAAAAAAAAGAAUACAGUAGUUUCCAUAUUGACUGAGUACUUCCUCAUAGGCACUCUCCAAUGCUUGUGGUCAAGGGCAUCUGUAGACCAGGCUGGCCUCAAAUGUACAGAAUGAUGGAAUUAAAUGCCUUCUGAAUGAUGGAAUUAAAGGCGUAUGCUAACACACCCAGUCCUGCUACAUAUUUUUUGAGAUGGGAAUUUCGUAUAUUCUUUAACUCACUAUGUUUCCAAGGAUGUCCUUGGACCUCUUGCUUAUACCUACUUAGUUCUGGGAUUAUAGGUGGAGAUCCAGGUCUUUUAUGACUCAUGGGACAAACUUUCAGUCUAUUUUCUCCAGGACUUUGUGUGUGUGUGUUCUGAAAAUUAAAUUUAUGGCUUUUGACAUACAUAUGCCUUAUGGCUGACACAAAACCUCAGCCCUUUAUCAUUUAAAAUGGACAAUUAAAGCUAGGGAUGGUGGCACAUGCCUUUAAUCCCAGUAUUCUGGAGACAGGGGCAGGUGAAUCUCUGUGAGUUUGAGGCUAGCCUGGUCUACAGAGUGAGUUCUAGGACAACCAGGGCUACAUAGAAAAACCCUGUCUUGGAAAAAAUACAAUUAAAUGGUUAAAUUAUAUUCACAUAUAUAUAUAUGAAUGAGAUGCAUAAGCUGGGGCAUUCAAGUCUUGGCAUUACAUGAUAGGCAGUAAAGGAAUGCUAUCCUUCAAAACUGAUGUUUGUUUGAUACAUCUGGAAAAGGAUCUUUUUGACCUGGGGAGAAAUAACUCAUUCUGUAAUCAGAGGCUAGUGUAUUUUUACAAGCUGGCCAUAGCUGUCUGGGAACACUCGGUUGCCUCUUUCUGAUAGCUCAAGAAUGGGAGCCUUAUCACUUCAAGGGCAUUAAUUUUCUGCCUCCUUCAAAGGUAGGGGACAUCUGCACCAAGGUGGGAGUGCUGGCUGUUUAACUUGGCAUGGGGACUAGGGAGUGAGAGACUCAGCGCACAGAGACAAGGGUGGGUUACCUUGUGUCUCUUCACUAUGACACCUGUAUCUGCACACAUGCACACUAACUUUAAAUACAUGUAAUGAAAUCAGAGUGAAGUGAACACAAAAAGGCUCACACUUACUGUGCAUGCAAAGAUAACCUUGAACUCCAUGUUCUCCUGUCUCUGUUUCUUUUUAUUUAUUUAUUUAUUUAUUUAUUUAUUUAUUGUAUACACUGUAGCUGUCUUCAGACACUCCAGAACAGGGCACCAGAUCUCAUUACGGAUGGUUGUGAGCCACCAUGUGGUUGCUGGGAUUUGAACUCAGAACCUUUGGAAGAGCAGUCGGCGCUCUUAACCGCUGAGCCAUCUCUCCAGCCCCCCUGUCUCUGUUUCUUAAAUGCUGGGAUUAUAGGAUAUGACAGCAUAUCUGGCUCUAGUCCACAUUUUCAACAUUUGACAGAUAAAUUUUAUUAAUUUUUAAAUUUUAAAUUUAUUUUAUUUGUUUUAUUUUAUGUGCAUGGCUGUUUUGCCUGCGUGUAUGUCUGUGCACCACGUCUAUACUUGGUGCUUUUGGAGGCCAGAAGAAGGUGUUGCAUUCCCUCGAGCUGGAGUUACAGAUGUUUCUGAGCUGUUAUGUGGGUGCUGGGAACUGAGCCUGGGUCCUCUGAAAAGGCAAUACAUACUCUUAUCAAUGAGAAAUCUCUUCAGACCAAACCUCUAAAUAUUUCACUUUUGUUGAUAUUUUGGUUGGGCAAACAAAAAUAUAUGUGAGAUUCUACAUGUAGCUUUAGAAAGCCACUGUGCUCUGUCCAGAUUGAACAGGGCAGGGAAGUUAGCUAAAUGCUGUCGUAUUAAGUAUUGGUGUUUUUAAAACCCCAUCUUUGUUUUUAAAGAUUUCAUGUUUGUAUCAUUAAAAGACAACUUGAAUA